ACUUACUGUAAUUUGUAACUGUUGCCAACAGAGGGCACCAAAAGCACAUCAGACCUCCAGGCCACUGGAGACCACAUAAUAUAAAUGGAUACAUGAGAGUGGUCAGAGAUUAGAAAGCACCAGAAAUUCUGAAGGGGAAGCUGGAACCCUCAAGGAGCUUGGAAGAGUUCUGCAGACACCAAAGUGUUUUCUAGCUCACAGGGUCCCAGGAUCAUGAGCUCAGACUCCAAGUGGGCCGCGGACAGCCACUGCUUUGGCAAAGGGCCACAGUCUAACACCAGGAUCAGAGAGUCGGUUAUUUCUGGACAUUUGAUCACACGCCUCCUACCCCCCAAGAGUCAGAAUGAAAGGCAGUUCCUUCCCUGCCGCCGUCACCCGUCUGUCGCCAGUCUACAUGGACAUCAGCGGGCGGCUGGGCAUC